rnacentral:lncRNA from 1 species
GCCAUCCCUGAACGGGCUGAUCUACAAAAAUUGAACUAGCUCUGACACCACUUGUUGGGGAUCAACCUAAUUAAGCAACGAACAAGUAAAAAAUAGCGAAAGAAAUUGAUAAAUUAAACACAAAUUUAACGUGGAAAACCCCCUUCAAAAAGGAUAAAAAGCGACGGGCAAAGAAAAUUUUACUAUAAUGGCAAAAGAAUGAUGAGUACAAAAGAUGGAGAUAAAAACUAAAUCCCGAAACCCGAAAACAAAGAACCUUCAAAAUAUAAACACAAAAUUCUCCAAAAGUGUUAUGAGUUCUAAUAAUUUAAUGAGUGUAUUUUUUAAGGUUGUAAAAUAGCCUAUUUAUAGGUUAAAUUCGUAGGUCAAAUAAUAAUAAAAUAAUCUAAACUAAUCAGAGUUCGACUGAAACAAAUAAUCAGAGUUUAACUGGGAGAUUAUCUCUCAAAUUUGAUUGACAUAUGAGGCAUACUAAAAAAUCUGCUAUGAAAGUACAAUGAGAGAAGUAAAUGGCAAAAUGUUAAUGGAAGUAAAAUAACUUUGGUGAAUUAAGGUAUAUGUAUAUGUAUUUAUAUUUAUACUUGUGAUUUGUACAUGUAUACCUGUGUUGUGAUCUCAUAAUUGAUUCCAAUUAUGCUUCAAUAGAUAGUUAAAAGUAAUCGAAUGAUAAUGGUGUCGAAUAUAAUUUACAUAUAUAUUUGAGCACUUGAUUUUUGUUGAAAUGUAUAUACAUUUGUAACUAUGAAAAUCGCAUUACGAUUUUGUUAUAUUAUAUGGUUUGUAAUAUGUUUUGAUGAUUAUUGGUAUUUAUUAAUGCCCUAUUAACAGUGCCAGAUAGAGUCAUGGGUAUAGUUGGCACAUUAUAGGGUUUGUUUUGAUAGGUGGGAGAUUUAGCAUAGAGCGCGUAUCAUAUUGUGAUAGUUCUUUAAUACCCUAGGGGUUGAGAACAUAUCACUAACUCAAAUACCCUAGGGGUACGAGCAUAUUCUGGUGUGGUUGGUGGGAUUGGUGCAUUUAUGCCCAAUUAGCAAUUCGUUGCAUAUUCUAAUGUGUUGGUGGAUUGAUACAUGUAUCCGUUCUCAAACCCGAGUCAGUUGAUAGGGGUCCUAUUAAUAAACAAAUGUGAAUUGUAUUUGUUAAUUGUGUAACACCCCUAACCCGUAUACGUCAAUAAAUUAGGAUUACGAGGCGUUACUGGAUAAAACACAACCUAACACAGACAUUCAGUAGAAUUCAAGAAUUUUAUAUCUAUGUUAAAUUAGUCAAAUUUUAGGUAAGUAUAAUUAUAAAUUCUACUUUAACUUUUUAUAACAAAACAUAACAUUUCAGUUCAGUUAAACCAUAAGAAAAAUAAGCUAAUUUCGUAUGGCUAUUAAUUAUAUAUAUACAGUACAUUAAAGUACGACUCCCAAAAUAUUAUCUAGCCUAUACAUGCCAUAAGUUAAAAUUUAAACAUUUCAAUACCGAGAUAGUAGAUAGAGUGAUGAUCUUCGCUAAUGAUCCCCGAGUCUACAGCUUGAUUUUUAUCUAUAAAACAAUUGGACAAAAACAAUCAAAGUAAGCUUUUAUAGCUUAGUAAGUUUAUAACAUAUCUAAAAUACAUAUAAACGAACAUAUGUAUAAACAUUAUAUGCUUAUAAUCAAGUUACAAACAUAAUCCUUAAUUGUAUAUACUGAUUGCUAGUAUACUUAUCAUUUGCAUUUCAUCGAAUGCAUAUCUAUGAUCUUUCAAUUACAUAUGUCAGAAAACAUAUAUUGUUACUUAUCAACUACGUGAGCCAAAUGCACAUCUAUACCUAUAAUCCACAUAUGCCGAAUGCAUACAUAUAUUCAAUAAUUUGCAUAACAACCAAUAUAUGUGCCUACUAACUAAAUACAAAGAUCCAAACGUUUAUAUGCUCAUCAAAUACAUAUAAACAAAAUCAUAUAUAUAUGUAUCAAAUGCAUAUAAUCACUUAAUUUAACAGAUUCACCGGCACUUGGCCUGCUAGGCUUAUAGCCUGAUUCAGAUCACCGGCACUUAGCCUGCUAGACGUUUAGUCUGAAUAAUUUCACUGGCAAUAAAUCCGAUUGAUACUGAGCUUUAACAAAAGAAUCUCAAUUCACAGAAGUUGUAUCUCAUAUUUGUAUAUAAAAUCCACAUAAAAUUUAGCUCAAUAUUCAAUACUUAUAUCUUUAAAACACAUGGAUAGAUAUAAAUCCCAAUCAUCAAAUCUAACUUAAAUAAUUCAACCAAAACACAUUUAUAUAUAUAACCUCAUACUUUAGAUUCCAUUACUAAUAUCAUAAAAUUUAACUUAUAAUAUUCUAUGUACCUUUAACAUUUGAAUUCCAUAUAUACAUAUAUAAUUUCAUAUACCAUUUCAAUACAAGAUCUUAUACAUGUACAUAUAUACUUAUUCGAAUCUAACAAACAUAUAUUACUCUAUACUUAUAUUCGAAACAAGAACAUAUACCUAUAUACUCAUACAUAUUCGAAUUGAACAUAUAUAUAUAAAUAUAAUUUCAUCCUUAUACUCAAUAUAAAUAUUUAUUCAUAAGUACACAUACUUAUUCGCUCCAACUUAUACAACUAUUUUAUACUAAAUUCACACCUUAUUCACACAUACAUGCAUAUGUUCGAAUAUAUCUCAUACCUUUGUAAUUUCAUACCUAAAUUCAAUACAACAAAUUUUACAUGUAUAUACAUGUAUAUUCGAAUAUAAUUUAUACAUAUAUGUUCAUACCUAAAUUUAUUACAAUGACAUUUAUAUGCAUAUUUGCAUAUUCAUAGUCAUUCGAAUUUAACAUAUAUAUGUAUACAUAAUUUCAUACUUUCAAUUCAAAUUUUAUACUUUUAAAUUUAACUCAACAAAAAUACAAUUGAUAUACAUACUCAUAUACUGAUUUAAUAAAAUUAAAUAGCUAAUAGACUUACCUCUGAUAUCAGCGGACACGAUCGACUAUUCAACUACUUUCGUUUUCCCCCGAUCCAAAUCCGUUUUCUUCGUUUCUUGAUCUAAACAUAUUCAAAUUUAAUUUUUUUAUUCAUAAAAACAUUCAAUUAAAUCCAAAAAUACAUAAAUGGGCAAAUUACCAUUUUGCCCCUGACAUUUUACACUUUUUGCAAUUUAGUCCUUUUGCACAAAACACAAACUACACAAAAUUUGCCCACACUAAGCUAGGGCCGAAUGUUCCUUAUCUUUAUACAAGUCCACACAUUUCAUUUAUUUCACAUUUUAAUCCCUCAAAAAUUUAUUUUCACAAUUUAGCUCUAAUUUCUCAAAUUCAUUAAAAAUUCAAAGACAAAACAUGUUAAUCUAUCACAUAUCUUUCAUUUUUCAUCAUCAACUAUCACAAAGUUCAAGCAUUCAUCAAUGGUACAUUUCAAAAUCAUCAACAAUUCACAAAAUUAAAACAUGGGUUUUGAAGAACACAAAGCAACGAUAUCAAAAACGUAAAAAUUAUUAAACACCGAACAAAGAACUGACCUCAAUCAAGCUUUUAUAUGACCGAAUGUAGCUAGGUUUUCUUUCUUUUUCUUUUGUUUAAUUUCGGCUAGUGAAGAAGAUG